UAAACAGGGCGAAUAGUUGGUGUUCGUAGACCCGAAACUGUAGUGAUCUACCCAUGAUCAGGUUGAAGCGCAGGUAAAAAUGCGUGGAGGACCGAACCGGUGAGCGUUGAAAAGCUUUCGGAUGAAUCGUGGGUAGCGGUGAAAUUCCAAUCGAACGCAGAGAUAGCUGGUUCUCCUCGAAAUAGCUUUAGGGCUAGCCUCAAGCAGUAAGCAUAGGCGGUAGAGCACUGAUCGGGAUAGGGUCCGUAAAGGAUACCGAACCCUGUCAAACUACGAAUGGUUAUGCUGCAGAGCUUGGGAGUCAGACUACGAGAGAUAAGUCCCGUUGUCAAAAGGGAAACAGCCCAGACCGUCAGCUAAGGUCCCCAAUGCCAUACUAAGUGGAAAAGGAUGUGGGGUCUCAUAAACAACCAGGAUGUUGGCUCAGAAGCAGCCACCAUUUAAAGAGUGCGUAAUAGCUCACUGGUCGAGAGGCCCUGCGCCGAAGAUUCCCGGGGCUAAAGUAUGGAACCGAAGCUACGGAUGCGGUACUUGUACCGCGUGGUAGAGGAGCGUUCCCAUUGGGUUGAAGUCGUCCUGGAAGGGACGGUGGACUGGUGGGAAGUGAGAAUGUUGGCAUGAGUAGCGAAAAGAUAGGUGAGAAUCCUAUCCACCGAAAGCAUAAGGAUUCCUGAGCAACGAUCGUCGUCUCAGGGUAAGUCGGGACCUAAUCCGAGGCAUGGAGCGUAGGAGAUGGACAACUGGUUGAUAUUCCAGUACCGGCAGCAAUCGUUUGAACGAUGGAGUGACGCAGGAAGGCAGGUCCGCGCGAGAAUGGUAGAUCGCGUACAAGCGUGCAGGCUGGUGCACAGGCAAAUCCGUGUACUGAGGCUGAGGCGUGAUGUGGAGGGAACUUGUUCCCGAAGGGAUUGAGCCUACGCUGCCGAGAAAAGCUUCUAGUGAGAAAGCUGCCGCCCGUACCGUAAACCGACACAGGUAUGCGGGGAGAGAAUCCUAAGGUGCGCGGGAGAACCCUCGUUAAGGAACUCGGCAAAAUGUACCCGUAACUUCGGGAUAAGGGUAGCCACAGUGGUGAAGGGACUUGCUCCUGGAGCCUAGUGUGGUCGCAGAGAAGAGGCCCAAGCGACUGUUAACCAGAAACACAGGUGCCUGCGAAAGAGAAAUCUGAUGUAUAGGUGCUGACACCUGCCCAGUGCUGGAAGGUUAAAGAAGGAUGUCCGGGUUCGACCCAAAGCAUUUGACUGAAGCCCCAGUGAACGGCGGCCGUAACUAUAACGGUCCUAAGGUAGCGAAAUUCCUUGUCGGGUAAGUUCCGACCCGCACGAAAGGUGUAACGAUUUGGGCACUGUCUCAACGAGGGACCCGGUGAAAUUGAAAUACCUGUGAAGAUGCAGGUUACCCGCGACUGGACAGAAAGACCCCAUGGAGCUUUACUGUAACCUAAUAUUGGGUUCUGAUAUUCGACGCACAGGAUAGGUGGGAGGCUUGGAGCAUGGUCCUCUGGGAUCAUGGGAGCCGCCGUUGGGAUACCACCCUUCGAAUAUCGGGAUUCUAACCGCAGGAGCAACGAUCCUCGGGACAGUGUUAGGCGGGCAGUUUGACUGGGGCGGUCGCCUCCUAAAGGGUAACGGAGGCGCCCAAAGGUUCCCUCAGCGCGGACGGAAACCGCGCGACGAGUGUAAAGGCAGAAGGGAGCUUGACUGCGAGCCAAACACGGCGAGCAGGUACGAAAGUAGGGCUUAGUGAUCCGGUGGCAUCCAAGUGGAAGGGCCAUCGCUCAACGGAUAAAAGCUACCCUGGGGAUAACAGGCUAAUCUCUCCCAAGAGUCCAUAUCGACGGGGAGGUUUGGCACCUCGAUGUCGGCUCAUCACAUCCUGGGGCUGAAGUCGGUCCCAAGGGCUGGGCUGUUCGCCCAUUAAAGUGGUACGUGAGCUGGGUUCAGAACGUCGUGAGACAGUUCGGUCCCUAUCCAUCGCGGGCGUAAGAGAUUUGAAGGGGGCUGCUCCUAGUACGAGAGGACCGGAGUGGACGGACCGCUGGUGUACCAAUUAUCCUGCCAAGGGUAUAGUUGGGUAGCUACGUCCGGAACGGAUAAACGCUGAAAGCAUCUAAGCGUGAAACCAUCCUUAAGAUGAGAUCUCUCAUAGAGUAAUCUAGUAAGACACCUUGAAGAUUACAAGGUUGAUAGGCAGGAUGUGUAAGCACAGCAAUGUGUUAAGCUGACCUGUACUAAUAUGUCGAGGGCUUGACUU
rnacentral:rRNA from 1 species